AAUGUGCUACUUCUGCCAUCCUCUGCACAGUAAGAUAGUCACAUUCAGAACUAUUGCAAAUAAGAAAGAUGAGCAGCCACACACACACACAAACUUUAGCUACAAUGGAGAACAAGACAGAAGUGUUCAAAAGUAGCAGACACUUGGCUGUGUCAUAUUUCCCAAUUAUUGGGAAAAUCAAAACACAAGACCUGUCUGAUAUGAUAGUCGUAGCCACGCAAAAACGUUUCCAAUUGUUUGCAAAGAUAGCUUUUACCCACCAAACUAAAAAUUCAAAGACAACUUUGACAACAUCCAAUACAAGAGAGGAUUUUCUUUUUAAAACAUUUUAUCAUUAGAAACAUUAAACGAUAAAUUAAUAUAUUCACCCCAUUCACCAUUGUUUCCUAUUUAGUGUUGGUUAAGAAUUUCCCAAUUUGUGAUUACUAAUCUUCUCUAUCAUGAAAAAUUCAUA
rnacentral:misc_RNA from 1 species